UACGGAGGGUGCAAGCGUUAUCCGGAUUCACUGGGUUUAAAGGGUGCGUAGGUGGGCAGGUAAGUCAGUGGUGAAAUCUCCGUGCUUAACAUGGAAACUGCCAUUGAUACUAUAGGUCUUGAAUUUUCUGGAGGUAAGCGGAAUAUGUCAUGUAGCGGUGAAAUGCUUAGAUAUGACAUAGAACACCAAUUGCGAAGGCAGCUUGCUGGGCCGACACUGACACUGAGAGACGAAAGCUAGGGGAGCGAAUGGG
rnacentral:rRNA from 1 species